UCCGGUGUCGUCUAGUGGUUUAGGAUUUUGCGUUUUCACCGCAAGGGCCAGGGUUCAAACCCCUGCACCGGAG
rnacentral:tRNA from 1 species